AAACGGUCCCUGGGCCUGAGAGACGAAGUGGCCCUGGCAGCCCCGGUUUUCCACAAUUGUCUCUAGAACCCAGCAAGAGCUCAGCAGCGGUUCCUUUCCUGUAGGUCUUGGGAGCAUUGCAGCUCAGACAAGCUCCGUGAUUGUCCACUGUAUUAUUUGAUUGAAGUCUGACUAUAAGUCAGUCUCUCUCUCCCUCCCUCUCUCGAUUUCUCCGCCAGGUACUGUGCUAAACUGUUGACACAGAAAACUGCUGAACCCUUACCCCAGCCUUGCAAGAUUUAUCUUCAUUGAUAGAGGCAGAAGCAGAAGCCUAAGUUCGAGCCUAAGUUCAAGUUAGUGUUGCUUCUGCUCUAUGAAGACUCUCUGGUCCGUCCCAAACAGGUACACGGAGUGUUUGCUCUUUACCGUAUGUGGGCAAAUACCCCUCUCCCCAGCCCCAGAGGGGAGGGUCGUGUCCAGGAAGGUGUCCCAGGCCAGGGGUCACUUGGAGCUGGUUUCCAAGGGCUGUUGAAACGUUUUCCAGGCAGGACGGAAGAGGGAGAAUGUGUUCUUGGAGAAGGAGAUGACCGGACAAGGAGGGCUGCAGGAGAGAUCUGGGGGCCAAGAGAGGCUGCAGCAUGGAGGGAGCAAAGUUGGUGUCCUUGAAUUUCAAAGGCAUGUAAAUAUCAGCAUCCCAACUGGAGCGCAGCGGUUUUUCUCCUGCUUGUUGCCGAAAGGAAGCCAAGAGGCAGGGGAGUUGGUUCCAGCCCUUAGCUGGGCUUUCUGAACCUACGGAUUACAUGAGCGCAAACCCAGGUAGAUCACCACUGGACCUUCGAAAUGAGGGAAAAAUUGAAACAGAAGACAAAAACAGCGAUGCGAGUCCCUCGUGAAAUUAACCAGGAUCCACACAUCAUGAAUAUAGAUGACCAUUGGGCGUCAUCUGCUACACAAACUACAGGGUCGUGGUCACUCCAUCCUAGACGACUGCUUUCUGAAGGCAUUUUCAACUCGCUAAUAAUGCUCAUUCUCCAUCAGCGUGCUCCGUCUGUCUGGGGGAAGGAUUUUGUUGACUGCAAUUUGAAACUUCCGUCGAAUUUAAGGAUGAUAGACAGACAUACAGCAUAAAUGUAUCGAAGACAAAAACAUAUCUUCUGAAUGCAGCCGUCAGCGAGCCAUUGAAUGUCCUGUAGCAAAGGUAACGGGUCACUAUUUACCGUGAAGACUGGGACGAGAACUCGAGGCAUCUGAGCGGUGCUGUGCCAAUUGUCUAGGGGAGAGGACGCGUUUCCUUUCCCACUCAAAGAGUGAGCUUUGUUUGUUUGCACAUGUUUUAGAUCAAUAACUGGUAAUAGUAAAGGCAGGACAAAAGCGCUAAUAACCAUGAGCCAUCUGCAGCGCGAAUCGACAUUUCCCAAGUUAAACACUACAGUCUUGUGAAUGAAUACAGGGUAUAUGAUUUAUUUUAAUUGGAAAACAAAUGCCUUGAUCUAGCUACGCCAAAAGGGGGCACCAGGGUAUUAAAGAAGUUAUCAUGUUUUCGGAGGCUAUAGCUGAAAUUAAGUGAAGUUUGGAGAGAUUUUUAGUAUAAUUAAUAUGUACACGAUUUUAAUAACGUGCUAUUCUAAAAAGUCCGUUAGGUGGUUUCAGGAUUUUCGGUAAGACAGUUUUAACAUCUGAGUGGAAUUUUCUAUUGCUCUGGGGUGAUUUCUUGGCGGUUUGAGGGUAUACAUGCAAACCAGGAACGUAUUUUAUUUGAUGAAAAACAGUAUAAAGAAAACCACAUAUAUAGCUCCUUAUGAUUCUAUCGAUAUUAAUGCUCAUGGUGUUUUUCACUGAAAUUUGCUGUAUUCUGUCUUUACAACAGAAGUGUGUCUCCUCUUUGUUGUCUAAGACACUUAGUAAAUAUGAGAGUAUUUGUUUUGAUGCACGUGUGUCUAGGUGGAAAAUAGGCAGCCUUCUGUAUUGGCUUUUCUGAGAGAAGGAUGCAGAAAGUGGGGACUUGGGGGGUAUGGCAAAUAGUAGCUAAUUUAGAGAUUGAGUACCAUAGCUUCCAGAAUCCAAAAGGAAUACAUCAAGCGACUAGGAAGCGUUUUCUGGAGAGAUUUUCAAAGUAUACAUUUUGGUUAAUCCUGUGUCAUUUUCGUGAUUCCAGUAAAGCGGAUUUAGUGGAGGAAAAGAGGGAGAGACAAAACUAUUCUUAAUGAGGUUGUAAAUACAUGCAACACAACUAGAUGUGCCUCUUCUGCUUUAAUGUCACUUAAAGAGUAAACACCAAUUCGAUUUCUAAUUUUGUUAGGGAUUGAGUACGCGCGCUAUUUCUGUAUUUCUGUUGUUUUCCUCCUCACCCUGAUCCGGUCUCCGCUUCCCUCCCCCACGUGAAAUAGAGACCUUUUAUAUGUAAUCAAAUCUGAACUGGUUGGUUAGCUAAUAAUUCCUCUUAAAAAUGGAAAUCAGUGGCUGCACGAUCCUGUUUUCUCUAUAUGUCUCUACCGCUUCUAAAGAUGGCUGCAAUCUAAACAGAAUGGGCUGUCUUUUCAUAGACAGUUUCUUCUUUUUAUUUUUAGCUGUCCAGUCAUAGCUUCUUAAAAAACGAGAAAAUGAUACAUUUAGUUGAAAUCAUGUUUUAUAGUUUAAUUUUUACCCAGCCUUUGGUCUUGCUCAUUUUAUGCUUUGUGAUAAUUUAUGGAAUCAUAUAUCAGGCAAUGCAAGGCGAUUUACAGGCUGCUAUCACAUCUCCAUAACUUUGAUGAAAUAUGUGACUAAUUAGUAUAUUGUUUAACUGGGAGAAUUAGAUUAAAACAACAAAUGUCUUUCAGGUUUAUUUGAAAACAUAUGGAUUUUAUUCAACUGAAGUAAAUAUUCAGGUGCAAUAAAUUGUUAUGUGUAGUGCAGGACGAUAGCUGUACAUUUAUUUUAAAAUAUGGCAAAACGGAGACAUUUUAAUGACUUGUUUAUUUGAAAUAAAAUGGGAUUUUUGAAUUUCAUGUCUUUUUAUGCUCAACAGCAUCGUGAUUUGCACGUACAGAAAGGUCCACUUAAAGGCAGGGAAGGAAAGUUACUACUGCUUUCUGUUUGUUGAGGGUCUCGCCACAUGUAUUAUAGAGGACAUUUUGGCUGGAUGGUAAAGAUGCAAAAUAGUAAUUGUUUGGUUACUAAUCAUUGCAUCAUAUGACUUCUCGAAGGAAUCAAUAAUCCUUAGUGGGACUGAAAAAGAAAAAUCCUGUGUUAGGGUAAUGCUUUGUAACUUGCUUACAUAUAAAAUACUGUAUAGAGAUAUAGAUAUGCAUGUAAACAUUUCAUUUCUCUGUGCGCCCUUCAGGAGGUCCUGCCACUUUGACACAGGGUCGAUAUGACUGGAUAAAUCAGGUGUUAUGCAUUUUUGGAACAACAGACAACCAGACUAGCCAAUAUCUCUAAAAAUGCAACUAAUCACGAUGCUGAUGACUGGCGUUGUGUUGUAGCCUCAAUCUGUGCUUUGAGAGGUCCUGCCUUGGGUUUCAGUAUUGUUCCAUUUUGGAGACAUAUGCAUAUGGUGGCGUUUGUAUGAGGUCAGAACAGGCAAAAUAAUAAGAAGUAGGUCAGUUUUUGAUCUCUGCUUUUCAGUUCUUUUUGCCCAGCGCUUCUUAUGACAAGAUUUCGCAUUAGUAAGCCAUAAAGAAUUUUCUGGCUCUGGUUUUUUUCCAGAAUGUCAAUUUAUUAAUGCUUAACAGUUUGCCCAUCCACAUGCUCAAUGGCUUAUUUUCGUGAUGUUUUCAAGUCACCUCGCUACAAAAGCAAAUUAGUGGCCAAGUAGAGCUUAUGAAAGAACCUGCAACACAGAAAGGUCUCCAAAGAAGCUAUUCUCCUUUAGGAAAGCUAUCUCCGG
rnacentral:lncRNA from 1 species